rnacentral:rRNA from 1 species
AACAAAUAUUAAAGGCAACGCCUGCCCAGUGAAUAAUUAAACGGCCGCGGUACCCUAACCGUGCAAAGGUAGCAUAAUCAUUUGUCUAUUAACUGUAGACCUGUAUGAAAGGCAAAAUGAGAGUCAAGCUGUCUCUUAUAAUAAAUCUAUUAAACUGAUCUCCUAGUAAAAAAGCUAGAAUAAUAACAUAAGACCAGAAGACCCUGUGAAGCUUAAACCAAACUAUUAAACCAAAUAAUAACUACUUUCGGUUGGGGCGACCUUGGAAAUAAAAAGAACUUCCAAACACAAUGAUUAAAUAUACAAACAUUCAGGCUCACAAGCCAACAAACGACCCAGCAAAGCUGAUAAAUGAACAAAGUUACUCCAGGGAUAACAGCGCUAUCUUCUUCAAGAGCCCAUAUCAAAAAGAAGGUUUACGACCUCGAUGUUGGAUCAGGACAUCCUAAUGGUGCAACCGCUAUUAAGGGUUCGUUUGUUCAACGAUUAAUGUCCUA